rnacentral:rRNA from 1 species
AUGAACAGAUGCUACUACCUCCUCCCCGAGGAAGAUGACCCGGUCAGAACUGUUCGAAACAAGAACUGUAUUGGGAAAGUGAUGUUUCUGACCGCUGUUGCUCGACCCAGAUAUGACACUGAAGGCAAUAUGACAUUCUCAGGUAAAAUUGGUGUCUGGCCCUUUGUGCAAGAGAUUCCCGCUGCUAGAAGAAGUGAGUAUAGAGCAAGAGGGACCAUUGAAAUCAAGUCCGUCAACGUGAACCGACGGGUAAUGAGGAGGUAUAUGAUAGAAAAAGUGGUUCCUGGAAUAAAGGAAGUCUGGCCCACAGAUGAUACUAAUCCAAUAUUGAUCCAGCAAGAUAACGCAAGAACGCACAUUCUUCCUGGUGAUGCAGAGUUUGUAGAAGUUGUGGCUACAACUGGUCUGGACAUUAAAAUAAUAAACCAGCCUCCAAAUUCUCCUGAUCUAAACGCACUUGAUCUUGGAUAUUUCAGAUCCCUUGAGUCUUUGACCGACUGUAGAGCACCCACUGUCGUGGUUCUAAGCCUGACAGUAGAGUGGGGGGUAGGUUUGGAGAGGCAAGGUCCUAGCUAUGGAGAGGUUGUAAACACAAGGGAUGUACGAGUUCAGGCCCUUCUCGGAAGAAGUAAUAGCCCUACGUCUCGGAGCCCGGAGGCGGUCGAGUGGAUUAUGAGUAUAUGA